ACUUGUCUAAGACUAAGCCAUGCACGUCUAAGUACAAACUAAAUGAUGGUGAACUGCAAAUGGCUCAUUACAACGGUUAUGAUGUACCCGGGAGUUCCGAUGGAUAUUUCCAGUAACACUAGAACUAAUACAUGUCCCUGCGUUUAUUAGUUUCGCACAGUCCGUCGCUGAGUCAUGGUAAACAGUUGAUCGACUCGACGUCCCGGAACAGUUUCCGCCCCAUCAGCUUCGAUGGUUGGGUAUUGGCCUACCAUUGCAACAACGGGUAACGAGGAAUUAGGGUUUGAUUUCGGAGAGGGAGCCUGAGAAACGGCUACCACAUCUACGGAUGGCAGCAGGCGCGCAAAUUACCCAAUGCAGACACUGUGAGGUAGUGACGAGAAAUAAUAAAGCGGGACUUCUGUUUCGCUAUUAUAAUGAGGAAUAACCAAAGGUCAUUCCGAUUAGCAACUGAUGGGAAAGUCUGGUGCCAGCAGCCGCGGUAAUACCAGCGUCAGUAG
rnacentral:rRNA from 1 species